CUUCCCUGCAGACGGAAGUAUCAGUGCGGCGUCAAAUUAUUGUAGAGGGUUGAAGUCUUCGUCACCCUGGUGUUUCACUGUAGAUCAUAUAGCUGACCAGGAUAAAUGCGAUAUCGAACAAUGUGAAGAUAAGACGUGCAUAGUGACUGAAUUUGAGUGUCCAGAUGGCCGUUGUAUCCCACAUCACUGGCUCUGUGACAAGACACCUGACUGUUACGAUGGUUCAGACGAGAAAAACUGCACAGCUUGUUCAGCAGAAAAGACGAAAUGCCAGAACACUGGAAGAUUGCGGAAGUUUGUGACGGACACUGGUCGGUGUUGUGACUGUCCUCCCGGUCUGACAGGACAUCUUUGUCAGUAUUGUGACCCAUCAAAAGUUGUAUGCUACAACGGUGGAACAUUGAUAACAAGACUACAAGAUGGCAACUGUCAUUGCAACUGUGCCCCUCGACAUACUGGUGUCCGUUGUCUUCACAAAGUUGGUAAAUGCUGUGGACCACACAUGA